rnacentral:rRNA from 1 species
AUUGAACGCUGGCGGCAGGCCUAACACAUGCAAGUCGAACGAGUGGCGGACGGGUGAGUAAUGUCUGGGAAACUGCCCGAUGGAGGGGGAUAACUACUGGAAACGGUAGCUAAUACCGCAUACCAUCGGAUGUGCCCAGAUGGGAUUAGCUAGUAGGUGGGGUAACGGCUCACCUAGGCGACGGUCCAUAGCUGGUCUGAGAGGAUGACCGGCUCCACUGGAACUGAGACACGGUCCAGCCCCCUAGUGUGGGCAGCAGUGGGGAAUAUUGCACAAUGGGCGCAAGCCUGAUGCAGCCAUGCCGCGUGUAUGAAGAAGGCCUUCGGGUUGUAAAGUACUUUCAGCGAGGAGGCGUUACUCGAAGAAGAAGCACCGGCUAACUCCGUGCCAGCAGCCGGGGUAAUU